rnacentral:RNase_MRP_RNA from 17 species
CAUGGUCAAAGAGUCGUCACUAAUCGAAGCUUGCACAAUGGGCAUGUCCUAUCUUUUUUAAGCUUUGGGUCGAAAGUCUCCCACCUGUCCGUAUGCGGAAAACGCAAUGAGAUUUAAAAAUAUUUUUAAAUUGUUUAAAUCCACUCAUUAAGAGUGCAUUCGUGCACUCUUUCUGUCCCGCGGGAUCCUGGUGGUCUCGUGGUGACUUCGGUACUGGAACUGUAUUUCUUGAGUUCUAAACCAUAGUUAUGACGAUUGCUGCGUGUUUGGCCUUGUCCAGCGCAGUAACCCAAUGGAGCUUACUAUUCUUGGCUCAU